GACAGUGGUUAAGUGCGCAUGUUCUGCUUCGGCGGCCUGGAGUUCCCUGGUUUGGAUCCUGGGUGUGGACAUGGCACAGCUUGGCAAGCCAUGCUGUGGUAGGCAUCCCACAUAUAAAAUAGAGGAAGAUGGACACGGAUGUUAGCUCAGGGCCAGUCUUCCUCAGUAAAAAAAAAAAGAAAGAGAGACUUAGAAACUGCUUCCUCAUGGAUCUGGAUUGCGACCUGCUCUUUGCCAAGUGCCACCCUCGAGGCAUCUCUGUGUCAUCACCCACAUUUUACCUGCUUGCUAAUCACCGAAGAUUCAGCGUGAACCAUCACAGCACAGGCAGUCCGCCCAUCUCAGAGACGCCAGACUGAGUCAUUCUCCUGGAGGUGACAUGGAGACCCAGGAUGAAGCUCUGAAAUCAGCCUAGGCAGUAUUCCCCUAGGCUCUCUGAGCUCCCUUUCUGAAGCAAGUGAGACUGCCAGAAAGCUAAGUAUCUGCACUGAACUUCCUUGGUUUGUAAGAGAGAUGUCUUCCCAGGACAGUGAUAUAAUGUUCUGUCAUCAGUAUUUUUUUAAUAAAGAUAUAAUUGACAUAUAACAUUGUGUAAGUUUAAGGUAUACAGCGUGCUGAUUUGAUACACUUAUAUAUUGUGAAAUGAUUACCGCCUAGCAUUAGCUAACACCUCCAUCACUUCACGUAAUUACCAUUUCUUUUUCGUGGUGAGAACAGUUAAGAUCUACUCUCUUAGCAACUUUCAAGUAUAUAAUACAGUAUUGUUAACUAUAGUCACCAUGCUGUAAUUACUUCCCCAAAACUUAUCAUCUUAUAACUGAACAUUUAUACCAUUUGACCAGCUUCUCCCCAUUGCCCCCACUCAUUAGCCCCUGGCAACCACCGUCCUACUCUCUGCUUCUAUGAGUUCGACAUUUUUAGAUUCCAUAUAUAAGUGAGAUCAUACAGUAUUUGUCUUUGUCUGUCUGACUUAUUUCACUUAGCAUAAUGCCCUCAAGGUCCACUGGUGUUGUUGCAAAUGGCAGGAUUUCUUUUUUUCUCAUGGCUGAAUAAUAUUCUCGUGUGUGUGUGUAUGUCAUUGUAUAUAUGUAUACAAUGGAAAUGAAAACAGGAUCUUGUUCAUUGCACUCUCAUGUUCAUUGCAGCAUUAUUCACAAUAGUGAAGACACGGAAAUAAUGUUUGUCAAUGGAUGAAAGGAUGAAGAUGUGAUAUAUAUGGAUAUUAUAUGUAUUAUAUAUUAAUGUUAGAUAUUAUAUAUGUGAGAUGUUUAUCACAUCUUCUUUAUCCAUAUCUCUUCUAGAUCUUGUUUUUAUUUUCUUUGGAUAUAUACGCAGAAGUGGGAUUGCUGGAUCAUAUGGUAGUUCUAUUUUUAAUUUUUUGAACAACCUCCAUACUUUUUCUAUAGUGGAUGCACCAAUUUAUACUCCCAACAGUGCACAAGGGUUCUCUUUUCUCCACAUCCUCACCAACACUUGUUAUCUCUUGUCUUUUUGAUGAUAGCCAUUCUAAGAGGUGUGAGGUGAUAUCUCAUUGUGGUUUUGAUUUGCAUUUCCUUGAUGAUUAGUGAUGUUGAGCACUUUUUCAUGUACCUGUUAGCCAUUUGUAUGCUUUCUUUGGGAAAAUGCCUAUUCAGUUCCUCUGCUCAUUUUUGUAUAGAAUUGAAUUUUUUUUUUUUUUUUUUUUUGCUCUUGAGUUGUAUGAGUUCUUCCUCUUGGAUACUAACCCCCUAUCUGUUCCAUUGGUCUAUGCAUCUAUUUUUGUGCUAGUACCAUACUGUUUUGAUUACUAUAGCUUUGCAGUAUAGUUUGAAAUCAGGAAGUGUCAUGUCUUCAGCUUUAUUCUUCUUUCUUAGGAUUGCUUUGGCUAUUCAGGGUCUUUUGUAGUUCCAUACAAAUUUUAGGGUUAGUUCUUCUAUUUCUGUGAAGAAUGCCAUUGGAAUUUUGAGUAGAGAUUGCAUUGAAUCUAUAGAUGGCUUUGGGUAGUAUGGACAUUUUUAACAAUAUUAAUUCUUCUGAUCCAUGAACAUGGGAUAUCUUUCCAUUUAUUUGUGUCUUCUUCUUUUAUCAAAGUCUUAUACUUUUCAAUGUACAGAUCUCUUACCUCCUUGGUUAAAUUUAUUCCUAAGUAUUUCAUUGUUUUUGAUGCUAUUGUGAAUAGUAUUGUUUUUUAAAAUUUCGUUUGCAGAUAUUUCAUUGUUAUUGCCUAGAAAUGCCACUGAUUUCUGUAUGUCGAUUUUGUAUCCUACAAUGUUACUGAAUUCAUUAAUUAGUUCUAACAGGUUUUUGGUGGAGUCUUUAGGAUAUUCUAUGUAUAAGAUCAUAUCACCCACAAAGAAGUCAACUUUACAUCUUCCUUUCCAGUUUGAAUGACUUUUGUUUCCUCUUCUUGCCUGAUUGCUCUGUCUAGGACUUUCAGUACUGCUGAAUGAGAAUGGUGAGAGUGGGCUCUCUUGACUUGUUCCUGAUCUUAGAGGAAAAGCUCUCAAUUUUUCAUUUUUGAGUAUGUUAACUUGUGGGAAAUCAAAAAAUAUCUUGAAACAAGUGUAAAUGGAAACACAACAUGCCCAAACCUAUGGGUUAACAAAAGCAGUUCUAACAGGGAAGUUUAUCGCAAUAAACACCUGCAUUAAGAAAAAAGAAAUAUCUCAGAUAAGAUGUCCUCAUAAUUUUGUGAAAGGUUGAGCUUUUAAAAAAUCACUCCAAGAACAUUUCUUUCCCUAAGUUGCAUCCUGAGAUACUGAUGAUGAUCAUUGAGUUGUUCAAAGAGCGUACUAUGAUGUUCUUGAAAAUUAAUCUUUAUCAUGUGUGAUCGCUAAACCAGCUGCAUCAAAAUUACCAGGAGUUGGUAUUGAAUAUGUGGGCCCCAGGUAAGACGAUCUGAGUCGGAAUCUGCAAAAGGAUCCCUGGAAUUUGUUUUACACAGGCUUCCCAGGUCAUUUGUAGGGGCCCUAAACUUUGAGAACCACUGUUUUAGAGUUUUGCACCAGAGAAAACAGCAUUUCUUUAGACCUAAGUGAUUGUGAUUAUCUCAUGUGAUUUUUGAACUCCAUGGCUUUUGGUUCAAGCAUCUCUCCUUUUUUUCUUACUCUAACCAUUUUGUCCUUGUUUUAAUCAUUUAAAUGUAUAUUUAAGCCACCUCAAACAUUUUCAGAAGCUGACAAGUUAUGAAUAAUUAAAGAAUAAAGUUAGGGAGUUAUAAAAUAAUAGUUUCCCCCCUGCUUCUGACUUAUAUAUACUUGUUUCAGGCUAGGCAGAUUUUUUUUAAUAUGAAAAUUUUACUUUUUGAUAAAGUUGUUUUACACUUACACCUUUGACUUAAAAGCUCACAUUCUGACUCAUCUAUUUGCACACUACAGUUUGACUCCAGGCUUACAUUCCCAGCAUCUACAACUAAUUGCACUUAUUUAAAAAUGUGUCUCAUUUCCUAAGUAUCUCUCUUGGGGUCUGUAAGGGGUCCAGCUGUGAGUGCAGAAGGCAAAGGGGCCAUGGAGAAAAAGGUCCCAGUAAUGCUGUGUGUUGCUGCCAAAGGUCUGGUACCGUAGCUUGCUUUACAACAAACACAUUUCCCAGGGACUAUUGGAAAGUAAAGACGUAGUGAAGAUAUUCAUCUAUCUUUAGUGUCAGACAAACUUGGUUUAAGUUCUAGCUUUGUCACUUACUGCUGUAUAACUAACUGUGGACAUGAUUCUUAACCUGUUAAGCUUUGGUUUCAGAGAUUUCAAUGGAGGAAACAGCAGCUCUUAGUGGCAGAUUGGAUAAAGUGGGUGAAGGUGAGGAAUGAAGCCAAGAAGAUGCUGGGACUGUUUUCUGGAGGUCAGGAAAACGGGGUUAUUUCCAUCCACACUCUUUAGGAGCCUUAGGAUAUUUGGGGGCUGACCACAACAACUUAAUCAGGCAGAUCCCAAUUUUAGCAUCCCAAGAGCCCUUUUCAAAUUGGUGUUCUAUUUCCCUUUACAGAUGCCUGCUGACUAUCUUAGUAGGGAUCUUUUAAGGCAGUGGUGGCAAACUACAGCCAGUGGGCCAAAUCUAGCCCACAUCCCCUGUUUUCGUAAAUAAAGUUUUAUUGGAACACUGUCACAUCCACUCAUUCAUUGAUUCCUGUAUCGUCUACGGCUGCUUUCGUGCUACCACAGCAGAGUUAAGUGGUUGUGACAAAGACCCAGUGGCUCACAGAGCCUAAAAUAUUUACUGUCAGGUUGUUCCCAGAAAAUGUUUGCUGCCCCUUGCUCCAGGACAAGGCUUCCUUUCCCCCUUGUCUCUCCCCUCAGGGCCUGUGGAGGAGACUGGCUGAUCUGAGACGUUCUCUUGAUGAAGAUGUUCCUGGUGUCAGCCCUCCUCUGCAGCAUUCUCUUUUCAGCAUCAACCUUUAGAAGCCUUGCCCUAAAAAGGGAGCAGUGUAGAAACCGAAGGCAGAAUCAAAGGGGUACAUUUUGGAUUGUGGAAAUUUUGUCAUUACUCAAGUCACACUGCAUCGACAAAACACUUACAGAAACUGAACAUAUUUUUGCAAUUGGUAGAACUGAAAACAGCUUUUGCUCACAGACCUUCUUCCUGGUCACUAGGAUCAGUGUUCUCAAAUUAGAAGGGAGGCAGGGUAAAGGCAAGAAUGGGCAACAGUAGGGCAGUUUGGGGGCUACUGCUUAACUCUUCAAGCCUGUUGUGUUAUCUCCUCCAUGCGCUGAGGACUUGACCAUCUUGGGAGAGCAAAGAGGUCCUUGAGGCUAAUGAAAGCUGGCUGAUGACAGCUAAGUCCUGCUGCUUCUUAGGCCAAAUACUAACCAGGUCUUUUGGGCUGCCUUGGAGAACUCCCCAACCGCCUCCAGGUUAACGCAGAGCCUUGGUGGCAGACAGCUUUGCUGUCAAGUUCUGAGGUUGACUCCCCACUCCUGAUGCCAGCCUCCUCUGCCUGGGCAGAAGUACACCUCCCAGUCCUUCCUGACCCCAUCCCAGCUCAGUCGGCAUUUCCUUCCCCCUUUGCCUGCUUUUCGCACUUCUCUUCCUUUGGACACACUUUUCCUUCUGUCCUGACUGCCCUUCAUCUUUGGGGGGCAAACCUCCAUUUCUCCUUCUCAUCCCAGAUCUAAUGUCUCCUCUGCUGUGACUCUUUCCCUGACUCUGCCAGACAGAAUCUCUUCUCUCCGCGACCUCAGAAUAUUUUCCUACUCUGUUGUAGCCCCACUCAGAUGGUGUAUUUACAUUUUUAUCUCUUGCUCCCUCAGAUAGUGGGCGAAGACUACAUCUUUUUCAUUUUUGUUCCUAGCAGUGUCUGGCACAUGAGAGAGCACCAGUAAAUGCAAAGCAAUAAAGCAUUGAGGUUACUGGCAGGAAUUAGAAUCUGUGGGACCCUGGGCAAGUUACUUACCUCUUUAAGCCUCGCUUCCCAGCUGUCAUGUGGGAAUAAUAAUAACAAUUCAGCCAUAGGAUUAUCGUAAGGAUUAAAUAAACUGAUAAGAUAAGGUGCUUAGCAUAGUGCCUGGUACACAGUAAAGUCUCAGCUGCUGCUAUUUCUAGUAAAACACUCCAAUUAUUUAAUUAUCUAACGUAAUGAACAACAGUACUGAUGAUAACAGCAUGAUGACUGAAUAAACUGAUGGACGAAUGCUCAUUUUAUUCUCUCAUCCCCUUGAUGGGGCCAUUGACAAAGACCCGUGUGCCACCUAAACGGAAAAGCUGUCCUUGGUAGUGAGGGAUCCGGCUUCUCCCAAAGCUUCUCCUUUUCUGGAAGGCCUUUUCCCCACUUGGGCAAAGUUUGGAGUCUCUGAACUUUCCUUUUCUUCAAUCAGGUCAAGCGAUCCUGUGCAGGGGGGAACCAACACCAAAGGCCAAGGAAUGGGCUCCAACACCCCAACUCAUUAAUAUCGUCAGCAUCUUAACAAAUGGGAGGCCGGAGAGCCAGACCGAGCAGCCACUUGGUCACAUGGAGGGGGUCUGCCCUGGGGCCCUGCGCACAUUGAGCGGCCGGGUACAAGUGCCAUCCAUAUUUCUCUGCACAGCCCCGGCCCCCACCUCCCAUGUCAGCCUGCUGAGCGGGCUUGGCCAAGGUUCUUGUGCUUCACAGAGAAGAUUUAUUCCUCAAGACUGACCUACAUGGACGUAUGUAUCUAAAUUCACAAAAGCUUGAGUUUGAUGGCAAGCAACAAAAGGUCAGAGGAAAAGCAGGCAAGGCAUUUAAAUCAAAAUGAUGAAACUGGGUAAUUUCAUUAGCAACAGUUGUAUUUACUGGAAGUCACAGAUGGUGCAGUUUAGCUCAUAGCCAAGUUUUUAGGACAAAAUAAGAAUGAAGAAAGAAAUAUUUCAAGGGAGAGGUGGUUAAAAAUUAAAUAGGCACCAGAUGGCUCAAGAUUGUCCUUCCUAUAAAUUUGGUGAACGAAGGCAUGCUGAAUCCAAAGGCUUUCUGAAUGGGAUUAGAGCCUGGAAAGGGACUUUAAGAAUAUAUAAAUAAGGCCUUUAAAAGAGGGAGAUAUCAAGUUUGAAAUUAUAUUGAGUGGAGGUGACAGUUAAUUAAAUAAAUCAUAUUACAUUCAUUUAUUUAUUUAGCAUUUAUUGAGAACCUACUGUGUGCUAGGUCCUAUUUUUAAUGUCUGUUAGUGAUACAAAGGGAGGUUAUAUUUUCCUGGAAUGUGGGAAAUCUUCAAGCUUAGGCUAAAAGAGGGAAAACCGUAGCUUUCAAAUGCAUUUGGCCAUGGAGACACACUUGUUUCUCCUCUGGUGCAUUUGGUAAGAAAUACUUCAAUGAUUUCCCAACUUUGUCUAAACCCUUUACCAUGCACGGAGCACUUCCUGAGCUGGCACUGUCUACCCAACUAGAUCUGGAGUUCUCAAAGCUGCUUUGCAUCAGAUUGUCUGAGGACCUGCAAUUCAACAAGCAGCUCAGUUGAUGCUAUUGCAUGCUAAGGAUUGAGAGCUACUGUUCUAGACUCUUCCUUUGCCAGUCCUCAUCAUGUCUUCUGUUCAGCAUGCUGGGAGCUAGUUGCCACUCCUGAACUCCCAAGUCUGGUGCCUUACACCUUUGCACAAAGUAUUCCCUAAAGCACAUUGACCAUUUUGUUCUCAUGCUCACCCCUCAAGUCUCAGCUUAAGAAAAAUCUCCUCUGGAAACACCUUUCUUACUACCAGGAGCCAGAUGGUAGAGCUGUUGUAUGAACUUUGUUACUUGAGUGGAAUAGGGACCUUUGCGGAGUUUUGAGUAGAGGAGAAACAAGAUAUGACGUGUUUAACAGGCUCAUUCCGAGAGUUUCCAUUCUAGUAAUGAGAAAGUGGCUUUUCUCGGACUAACCUCCUGCUGAUACAGACUAUGGACAACAUAUGAAACAAUUGUUUGAAGGCCCUGGAAAGCAAUAUAUAGCAGGCGGAAGCUGGAGGGGACAUGACCUUUGAAAUAAGGGAACGAUAUCGGGUAACCUUUUCUCUUAAGGGCCCCUCGCUGUCUAUGUGGUACAUGGUGGGGAGCUCAAUUGGAAAGCCGCACUCUUACUGACCAUCAGGUUGCCAGAGCAACUGAUAAUUGGGGCACGAUAUCCUGGAAAGUGAUGGCCAUCAAAGCUGCACACAGGCUUCCCUCAGUAACUUGGCUGCCCCCUGAACUACGCACGGACAGGGUGAUUCUAGGAUCCCAGAGGCAAAAUGACAACAGGUCAUUAAAAGAGCUCAGCAGAGAUUUCGGCCUUCUAUAGGGGGACUGAGUUUGGAGUUGAAUCCUGCCCAGUCUUGGAGGGGCUGAGUAAACACCUUGGGCUUACCAUCAAAAUCCCGGAAAGACCACACGUUAUAGUAAAGACCAUAUUUUAGGACUAAGGCACUGAAACAGACCUGCCCUAUCAAAGCCUAAAAUUAAGCCUAGUUCAAGGUGGUCCACCAGUAUUUAGAUGUCUGCAAGGACAAAACUCAGCACUGCUCAGAGGAGGCUCUAUGAUGUAUCAUUCACAAUAUCUGCACACCUUUACAUGAUAGAAUUCCCCCGGGCGAGGAGGCUGGGAGCGCAUUCAUUUUAAGAUUUUACAUCCUCUGCCUGUGUUUUUGAUUUUUUAUCUAUUGAAAAAAAUUUCUGUCCUUAAAUCAUUUCAAAUUAAGUAAUCCCAUACUGUAAAUGCUUUUGAUUGUCAGAGUUCCAGGAUCCAAUACCCAGUGAUGUUUCCAGUGUCACUAUCUGGUGUAGUAGGAAGCUAUCUGUUUGCCUUUUGGGUCACUGUCCGUGUUUUCUCCACAACUUUAGCUCUGUUUCACUUUACAUUCGUCAACACCACUCUCUCUAAUUCUUGAUAACUUCAUUAUAGGCAUAUGUGAUGUUUCCAGCAUUUUGGCUUCCUGAUUCCUCGAGCUCCUUUUGCAGAUGAUUCCAUCCCAUUCUAAUUCAGCCACUCACUUCAAGGUGAAACCCUAGGCCUUGUCAUUACUAAUAACUACAAUGCCUCCGACAACGUCAUUUUCAAACAUGCAUCUUUCUGACCACCACCUUCUCUCUUUCUAGCUUUCAUCCUUUCCUAGCCAGCUCCAACAGCCCCUCACUGAUUAGCCAUUGAUCCACCUACAUUAUGUCCUUCUCUAACUUUCCAGAAACCUUCUCCUCUCUCCUUGCUAUUUCAAUGUCUUUGCACACACCCCUCCUUCUUGCCCCUCUCCCACUUCUACAUUCUGGCUUGGUUAACCACAAGCCUGGUUAAAUCCAACUCGUUGUCUCCUACAAGCCUGUGCCUGUACAGCAGGAGAAAAACACAAAACUAGGCUGAGGGCUUCAACAGAGCCCUCAAUGCUAUUUUCCCUCCCACUCUCAGAGACCACUGUUUCCACUUUCUUCUUUCUCCUCAAACCCCUGAAAUCUCUUCCUUAUCCUCCCAUUCAGACUCUUUGCCUCCUAUUUGACUGAAAAAAAAAAAUGAAUAAAAGAAGGAAUCAGCAAAGAGCUUACAUAGACUGCCCCCAUGUCUCCCCCUUUCCGUCCUGUGCCCAUUUACUCUGCCUGAUGAUACCCAUGAAAAGCCGCUAAGGCCCAUCCCUCCACAUGGGUACCACCUCUCGAGAGUGUUGCCCCAGCACUUCUCUUCUCUCUCUUCUAGAAUUCAACUGGUUCCCUCCCCACUGUAUUAUUCCUGGCAGCACACAGAUCAAUUAUAAAAAUUAAAACUCUUUGACUCCAUGUUUCCCUUUAACUGGUGCCCUAUCAUUCCUCGUUGCAGCCACUCUUCUCAAAAGCGCCGUCUCUGGUUGCUGCCCAGUGUGACUCUUGAGCUCUGACAUCUUUGCAGUAUUCUCGAGGUGAUUAGUAUAUGAGGUGAUUAGUACAGUGGUAGAUUGUCUUUUUGCUUUCUCUUUAAGCAACGUUGUAUUUCAGUGGAGUUACGGGUAAUCAUGGUUUUCUUUCUUUUACUUAUUUGUUCUUUCUAAAUUUUCUAUGAUGAAUAUGCAAUGCUUUGGUUAAAGUGGGAAACAAUAAAAUUACAUAAAAAGAAACACCAUAUUUUAUGAAUAAUUUGCAAUCAGUUUUUAUAGCAAAAAUUGGCAGCAGGUUGGAGUGGAAUGGCCAUCGGGAUUGGGGCCAGUUCUACUCCUGACUUGCUCUUGAGAAGCCACUUAAGUUCUCUGAAUUUCAGAUUCCUCAGCUGUGAAGGGGAGAAACUGCCAUUUUCCCAGCCUUCCUUCCGUUCAACAAUUUUGUGAGACUCUUAAAAGAAAAUGGAUGUGAAUAUGCUUCGGGGGCUAUACAGAUGUAAAUAAACCCUUAUUACCCCUUACCCAGACAUUUGCUGUGAGCUACAUGGAUGACAUCCUCCUUUUACUAACGAGGAAACACGGCUGCUGAGACGUGGCAGGUUUAAAGCCACAUCAAAGGAGGUUGGAGUAUGAUGAUAGUGGAAGAUCCUUGACUAGGAUGGAAGUGUUGAACUACCAGAGAGGCACAUUUUUAGUUGCUAAGUUGCUCUCCAGGUGAUUGUACUGAUUUAUACUUCUACCAGCAGCAUGUGCCCUUGGAGCCCCUUUCAGAGAGAAGAGACAGAGAUUGCUGAGACCAACCUCAUCUCCCCAAUUCCUGGAAUAAAUGAUGCAAUUUUACACUAGUUUCUGCCAAGACUUUCAGGUCCAGCUCACGUACCGCCUCCUCCAUCAUGAUCACCUGGUCUUGUAUUGGUCACAUCAACUUCCCACCUGCCACGGCCAUGUUCCCAGCGAGGUGAUCAUCACCCUGGCGGCAAGGACACCUAGCACAGCUUUGGCACUUGAAGCAGACACUCAGCAAAUAAUUUUGGACAAACACAUUUCAAAAUCCAUGUGUUUUCCUGUGGUUAACUAAUUGGGGACUUCCAUCCUGACCCGGACCACUUACUAGAACCAGAUGUUUCUCCAAGUUAUUUUAGGGAUUGCUUUGUAGAAUGGAAUUUUGACUCCUUUUUCCAAAGAUAAAGGAAAGCCUGCUGGGUUAUUGCUCUCUGCCUACAGAAUGUACAGAAGGGAAAAGCCUUUCAUGGAUGACUGAUUUCUAAAGCAGAUGUGCCAACUUCCUUGGGCUAAAAACUCUUUAGUUGGAAAUGAAUCAGGGCAUUUUUAAUAAGAGUUUUUAGAACGUGUACUUCGAGCAAUGCUAAUAACGAUCAGCGUGAUGGCGACUUGGUUCAAGGGUUUCGAGGAUCGAGGGUGCUAAUAAAACCACUCAGAGGACCCUGUGAUCACCCGAUAUCGAAGAACUAAUGAAGGACUCAGUGCACAAAAGUGUCUCUUGUCAGAGGGGAAGUAUUUGUGCAUGGUCUCUUCCAACCAUGCACUUGACAAGGACAGAAAUACAAAAGCAUUUGUGGCCACCCGGCGGAGAGUUUCCUGGUGCCUUGGUUUAUUAUUCCUACUAUUGUACUUCCUUCUUCCCUAAAAAUCUUUUAUUUCCCUCUUUGCCUUUUCAGUUGGCUUCAGCAGCUCUUGUGAGUUUUCAUCAGCACACUUCAUUCUUUACUGAACAAUGGAAAGAUAAGGGAGGGG
ensembl:lncRNA